rnacentral:lncRNA from 1 species
AAAAGAGAGAAAAAUGUGGAAUUUUAAAACUUUUAUAACGUUAAGUGAUUAGUGUUUUAUUUGAUGUUGUGUGCUUUGUGCCCGAGCUUUGUUUAGCUUGUGUGUGAAAAAAAUGAAUCUUAUACUCUUAUAAAGCUAAACCCAUUAGAGAAUUCUCUCAACAUGCAAGCUAUCCGCAUCAACAAUCCACUAGAACUUACAAUUAUAGCCAAAUAGCACAUAUAAUUAUGAUAGUUAUCUCUUCAUCCACUAACAUGCAUUUAGUUGGCCAGCCAAACUAUUCAUCAAAAUUAAUUUAAGAUAGUUUCAUCCAUAUAACUAUAAGUAUAAAUACUCUAAUUUCUUUUAAAUUAUCUGGAAUCCCCGCAGCAACGCGCGGGGUAUUCUCCUAGUUUCUAAAAAAAUUCGAGCAUCUUUGAUUAGGCCCUUUUUUUUGUUUUUUUUAGAAAAAUAAAACUCCAAGUCAUAUUCAAAAACUAAUUUCUAAUUUGAGUUAAAAAAAGAGAGUUGUUUUAAGAAAAUUGGUACUGUUCUCAAAAAUAGGAAAGAAAACAAAUUCCAAAAUAAUCCCUAAGUAUUUAAUCAAAUUUAUUUUGAAAUAUGGUUUGAAAAUAGUUUGGAAAAUUGGUUGACAAAAUAGUUUAGAACUCCUGUUUUAUAAAAAGGAAAGGGUUUUUUCUUUGUUCUUCUCUUCUCGUUUUCGGCGUGCCCCAGCUUCGGCUCAACCCCAGCCGCCUGCUCGGCACGCGCGCUCGCCCUUGGGCCUUGACCCAGUAACCGCAGCCCUACAAGCCACCAGCGCCGCGCCCCGUCGCUUGAGCCGCUGCCAUGUGGGCCCCGCUUGCCAGUCGCUUGCAGCCGCUGACGUUGCGGACCCGCGUGUCAGGCUCAUCCCCAACCUCCCACCCUCAUCACGCGGGAUGCUUCCGCCGCCAUCGAUCUGG